CUGUGCAUAGUCAUAAUCAUAAUUAUGAUCCCUCUGUGGGAUCUCAUCAAUGCCCCAAUGGGCAAUACAUCAUGAGAUGAGUUGGCUUUCAUAAACAUUAUAAAACAUAUUUGAUCAUGUAAUAAAAGGGAUUCCUCAUACACAAUGUCAAGCACAAUACCUAAUCCUCAAUAUCAUUACAUGACUGAAACUAUACUUUUACAUAACAU
rnacentral:lncRNA from 1 species